ACUAGAAAAGGUUCAAGAAGAAUGGCUUAACACAGAAGUUGUACAGCACUCAGUUUGUCCUAGUAUUGCCUGCUCCUGAAAAACCUGUGUACUGACAAACACUACAAUAGCAUCUGACAGCAAACAAGCCUGUAGGAAGGAACAGGAAUCCUGCACUAACCACAAAAUCAUCAUCCAGUUUCAGAGAAAUGGGUCUGAAGGACUGGGAGAGCUGGGUUUCCAUCAUGGGGACAGCACUACCACUUGAGAUGCCACACACAGAUUCUUAGAAAUAUGGUGAAGGGCAGGAUAAUAUCCCCAGGGUCCUACUGCAGACACCUGCAAUCAAAUCCUCUUCAACCAGAAGAUGGAAGUUAUGCUGCUGUUCUAAAUUAGUAGUUGCUCCUAGGGCAAGCCAGCCUGCACACUGAGCUGUGAAAACACCCUCUGAAGUCUGGAGGUGGAGGGGCAGGAGGGUUUCAGCUGCAUUAUGCUGCACAGCAGGUAAACAAACGUGUCUGAACUUCAGGUUUUCAGUUCAGACAAAGCUAAGAAACCUUGGAAGCUGAGACUGGAGAAGAGCCUCACCAGAAGGAGGAUAAAGAACAGUAAUUCUCACAAUGUUGACAUGAUUACACCUCUAGUUCAACAAAUAAAUACAUGAACUUCAUGGGCUACCUUCACAAGAACUAAGGUAUCUGAAGUCUUACAUUAUCACCAGAAAGUGACAAAGCCUAAGAACAAAAAUA